rnacentral:misc_RNA from 1 species
GAAAUGCGAUAAGUAAUGCGAAUUGCAGAAUUCCAGUGAGUCAUCGAAUCUUUGAACGCACAUUGCGCCCUUUGGCAUUCCGAAGGGCAUGCCUGUCCGAGCGUCAUUAUCACCCCUCAAGCCCCCGGCUUGGUGUUGGAGUGCCUGGUUAAGCCCCUCGGGGCCCGACCCCUCCUAAAGGCAAUGACGGCGGCCUCGAUGGAUCCCCGGGUACACUGAGCUUUUCACGGAGCACGUACUGAAGGGCCUCGUGGCAACGGUCUUCCUCCCUCGGGAGAAUUUAUCUCAAGGUUGACCUCGGAUCAGGUAGGAAUACCCGCUGAACUUAA